rnacentral:misc_RNA from 1 species
GAUGAAGAACGUAGCGAAAUGCGAUAAGUAAUGUGAAUUGCAGAAUUCAGUGAAUCAUCGAAUCUUUGAACGCACCUUGCACCCUUUGGCAUACCGAAGGGUAUGCUCGUUUGAGUGUCAUUGUACUCUCACACUCUCCGAUCCUAUGGAUUCGGGGAGCGGUGGACUUGGGUGUUGCUGCCUUUCCUUGUGGCUCACCUCAAAUGUGUCAGUGCACCUCUUGGUUGGACAUAGUACGGCGUGAUAAGUGUCUUCGCCGGCACCUCGCAAGAGGGUGGCCGAUCGGGAGCUCUGUGCUUUCAAACCGUCUUCGGACAAUUUCUGACAACUUGACCUCAAAUCGAGUAGGACUACCCGCUGAACUUAAGCAUAUCAAUAAGCGGAGGA